rnacentral:rRNA from 1 species
UACGUAGGGUGCAAGCGUUGUCCGGAAUUAUUGGGCGUAAAGAGCUCGUAGGCGGUCUGUCGCGUCGAAUGUGAAAACCCGGGGCUCAACCCCGGGCCUGCGGUCGAUACGGGCAGGCUAGAGUUCGGUAGGGGAGACUGGAAUUCCUGGUGUAGCGGUGAAAUGCGCAGAUAUCAGGAGGAACACCGGUGGCGAAGGCGGGUCUCUGGGCCGAUACUGACGCUGAGGAGCGAAAGCGUGGGGAGCGAACAGG